rnacentral:rRNA from 1 species
CUACGGGUUGCUGCAGUGGGGAAUAUUGCACAAUGGGGGGAACCCUGAUGCAGCAACGCCGCGUGGAGGAUGACACAUUUCGGUGCGUAAACUCCUUUUAUAUAAGAAGAUAAUGACGGUAUUAUAUGAAUAAGCACCGGCUAACUCCGUGCCAGCAGCCGCGGUAAUACGGGGGGUGCAAGCGUUACUCGGAAUCACUGGGCGUAAAGAGCAUGUAGGCUGGUUUGUAAGUUGGAAGUGAAAUCCUAUGGCUUAACCAUAGAACUGCUUCCAAAACUACUUACCUAGAGUAUGGGAGAGGUAGAUGGAAUUUCUGGUGUAGGGGUAAAAUCCGUAGAGAUCAGAAGGAAUACCGAUUGCGAAGGCGAUCUAAUGGAACAUUACUGACGCUCAGAUGCGAAAGCGUGGGGAGCAAACAGGAUUAGAUACCCGGGUAGUC